rnacentral:rRNA from 1 species
AGAGUUUGAUCCUGGCUCAGGACGAGCGCUGGCGGCGUGCUUAACACAUGCAAGUCGAACGGGAAGGCCCUUUCGGGGGUACUCGAGUGGCGAACGGGUGAGUAACACGUGGGUGAUCUGCCCUGCACUUUGGGAUAAGCCUGGGAAACUGGGUCUAAUACCGAAUACACCCUGCUGGUCGCAUGGCCUGGUGGGGGAAAGCUUUUGCGGUGUGGGAUGGGCCCGCGGCCUAUCAGCUUGUUGGUGGGGUGAUGGCCUACCAAGGCGACGACGGGUAGCCGGCCUGAGAGGGUGUCCGGCCACACUGGGACUGAGAUACGGCCCAGACUCCUACGGGAGGCAGCAGUGGGGAAUAUUGCACAAUGGGCGCAAGCCUGAUGCAGCGACGCCGCGUGGGGGAUGACGGCCUUCGGGUUGUAAACCUCUUUCACCAUCGGCGAAGCCCAUGAUUUUUGUUGUGGGUGACGGUAGGUGGAGAAGAAGCACCGGCCAACUACGUGCCAGCAGCCGCGGUAAUACGUAGGGUGCGAGCGUUGUCCGGAAUUACUGGGCGUAAAGAGCUCGUAGGUGGUUUGUCGCGUUGUCCGUGAAAUUCCCUGGCUUAACUGGGGGCGUGCGGGCGAUACGGGCAGACUAGAGUACUGCAGGGGAGACUGGAAUUCCUGGUGUAGCGGUGGAAUGCGCAGAUAUCAGGAGGAACACCGGUGGCGAAGGCGGGUCUCUGGGCAGUAACUGACGCUGAGGAGCGAAAGCGUGGGGAGCGAACAGGAUUAGAUACCCUGGUAGUCC